GCCUCUGUAGUCUAAUAGCUUAGGAUGCUCGUACGGAAUACAAGAGAUCUGGGUUCAAGUCCCGGCUGAGGUA
rfam:Trachymyrmex cornetzi contig17764, whole genome shotgun sequence.